CUUUCUGUUAGCUGAUAUUUAUAUACUAAUGACUCAAUACAUUGACUGCUGCCCUUUUUUCUUUAUUUUUCUCGAUUUCACUGAGUCUGAGUAUGUGUCAUAUAUUAUGUACAUUAAUUAUAAUUAAUUUUCUGAUCAGCCCUUCGUGUAACCUUUUGAUAAAUCUGUUUUUGCUUGCAUUCUGUGUUUUUUGCCUCACCUCUAGACUUUAGAUACCGCCAGUGGCUUUACAUGUCACUUGUUUUCACUACUUUAUCACAGGUGUGUGAUAGUUAUUUCCAAAGCAGUAGGUUUCCCAUGAGGCACUGCAACAAAACAAAGCGAGAGUUAGAUGUUUGGUUUGCACUUUGACUACAACACUGCUACAAAAGCUGACUUUGGAACACGGCCGUAAACAUGCAACUAGUUGUUUUUUCUAAAUCCUGAAAGAUUUUAUUCACAAGUGUCAAAUACAAAACUUCCUGAAAUACACCGGAAGCGACAUAAACAUUAAAGUAACAAGUAACUUUUAUCUGGCUAAACUUUCCCUUUAACAUAUCAGAAAAAGACAUAUCAGGAUACCGAAGACCACUCCAGACCAUUUUUAUAUUUCAUACUGAUUUCUAUCUUAAUCUAUUUUAAAUGUAUGUUUUAGAGUUUCUAGCAGACCUGAGUCAUAUCUGCAUGGAUUGGAAGUUGUGGCGUCAUUCGAGCUGUAUACUGCUUUUUGAUUCUUUCGAGCCACGUCUAACAGAUAGAGACAAUCCGAUCAUGUUAAAUAGCCAUUUUCCACCCCAUUAUAAACACAUCUACCAAUGUGGGGAAAUGCAUACAAACUAUCUGCUGCUGUUUUUUGGAGUCUAUCUGUCUAUUUUGGAAUUGCUGGGAUUCAAAUACUGUAAGUGGAUCAUUUAUAUUUGUACUGUUUACAACUUUCAAGUGCAUGAGAUGGACUAUCAAAUAUAUUCUCUGUCUAUAUAUAUAUAUAUAUAUAUAUAUAUAUAUAUAUAAACACAUCUAUAUAUAUAGAUGAACUAUGUGAGCAUUUUCUGAUGAACUGUUGUCCAUUGAGCAGUUUGAUCUCAAUACCCAAUUAAGCUCUACUUCAGGCUUUGCAAACUUUUCAACGGCUUUGUUUGAGAGAAUGAUUGUUUCAGUAUAUUUAUAAAAAUUAUACUGUAUAAAUAAAUAGAUUAGCAUUUAAAUAAAAUAGAUAUCUGUGCACAUGCUAGAGUUGACAUUCUGACUGGACAACAAUCAAAGAUCUAACAUUAGUGCCAAGUGUAUAUAACAGAUUGUAGACUAUGUUUUAACGUCACUUGCCGUAAAAAAAAUAUAUAUAUAUCAAUAUUCCUUGUGAAUUUUUUGACUUCUUUCUUUUUGAAUGUACAAAUUGUGUUGUGUUUUUUUGUUGUUCUUUGGUUUCUGUUCAGUUCGGUUUCUUUUACUCCAUUUCUCCCUUUGAUUGCAUUGAUGCUGUGUUGUUUCUUUUUCCUGAUUCCGUCCUUGUAUUUUAGAUGAUAGCUCCGGAAAGCUUGUAUUUAAUGAUGCCUUAUGGUCCAUGGCUUAGUGAUGAGUAGAUUUUUGAUCACAAGCUCUUUAUUUGCACUCAUCCUUUACAAAGUGUAUGACAAUAAAAAGAUCUUUUCAUUUUGGA